CUCCACCAACCGUACCUUUUCCUUUUCCUCUUCCUCUUCCUCUUCCUCUUCCCUUUCCCCUUCCUCUCACUCUCUUCCUCUACCCCCACCAUUCGUUCUUCCUUUUCCUACGCUGCCCUCGUUCCGACUUUCGUCCUCCGUACGUAAGUACUUACAAAGUCUAGCUUUCCCCUAUGCGACUUUCCUCGUUCUGUCCGUUUCUUCACGUUCGAUUGUAAACGUUGUUAGUACGAUAGAAUCGAGUUUAUUCUUUAUGGGAAAAUUAUUCUUUAUGGGAAGAUUAAGCGUAAAAUUGAAUUUUAACUAGAAAUAUAUAGGGCAGUAGCGUCUAUUCGAUCGUUAUUUAUCGUUUCAUCGAGAACAAGCUCCGGCUUUCAUUGAGCGAUAUUAUUGUUGGAUCGUUCCCUCGUUACCUCAUUCUGUUAUUCGUGUUAUUGUGCACGCGGUUUUAAUUAGAACAUGUGAAAAUGAAUAUAUCUUCUUUUUAGAAGAAUAUUUCUAUUUUUCCUUUUAGAAUAUUUGACUACAAAUUAUUUGUCUGAAAAUUGAUUGGUUAUCUCGUAUCGAGAUUAAGCGAUGUUGAUUAAUCUUGUAUAAAUUAUCGUACACUGUUCUAUAUUCAUCCAUAUGGAGAAAUUUGCUUCCGUUUAAAAUUUUAAUUGCCAAAAAGCGAACUUUUAAAAAUAAUUUUUUUAUUCUCGAUUUUCAUCUAAUUUUGUCUCGAAAAAUCACCCAAAUAUCUCAAAAUUUUAUAUAGACAGAUAACUAUUUCAUUUACACUAUAAUUUUUACGACGAAAUCAAUAAGUUGGAUCGAAAGAAAAUUAUUUCAUAUAAAUUCGUUUUACAGAAAACUUUCCUCGUUCGGUAAAAAUUCUCGUACAUAUGGGUGGAUAGGGGUCGCGAGACCAUUGUCCGUAUAUACGCACCUGCCAGUCUUCUCGCAUCUACUAGAACUCCUUGCAUGACAAAAACAUCGACCAAGAUGGCAUAUAGCAGUCCAACAAUUCUGUCCAUUGUUCGUUGGAUCGCAGUUUCUCGCUCUUUUGAACUUGGAAAAUGAUCUCGCUCGUCUUUUCAGCUCUCUUGACAAACCACCUUCUUUGAUCGGAAUUACGUAACAAACUUGAAUCGGGGAUCGUUAACGAGAGCCCCAUUAAAAUUUUAGCUAUAAAUUUAGAAAAGUUUGCGAAUAACCUAUAAAUCGGAUAUUCAUAUUUUUAGACCAUCUCUGCUUUUUUUCACAACUAUAAAUCGAAGAUUAAAAUAGUAUCUUUUAAAUUAAAUUUAAGUAAAUUAUUAUCCGUAACUACAUCGUAGUUUCAUAAAUAAAUUCAUCGGAGUGAUUAAUGGUUGGAAAAAAAAAGGGAAAAAAAAUAUCGAAACGCUUGGAGAUUCACGAGGAUGUAUCCUGUUAGCGUGCCACAAACACGGUUUGUGUCAACGGAGUUGGGAAACUCUGAACGUAACGCCGUACCUUGGAAUUACGUGCAUGCAUGCAGUGCUAUAAUUCAGGUUUAACCAGAUAGAAAAGGCUGGAACGUAUCCUACGCGUUUUUAUUAAAAGAAGAUCCGGAAAUUACGAAAGAAGAUUGAACAAAAUGAGAAGAAGGCGUACUCGAAUGAUACGUAUUGACUGGCAGUCUGAUGGUGCGCAUUGUAUAUAGGAAAAUGUGGGCAGUUGGAGGGGUGAGAUUUGGCGCGAUCCGAUAAAUAAUUGGCGAAGAUGGUGGAAAAAAGACGAGAUGGAGGAAGGAAGGGAAGGCGUGGUGGUUUGAUGACGCGAAAGUAUCCGAAUAUAGGAUGAAGAGUCCAGCGUUGGAGGCGAGGCGAGGAGUAUACACCCGAAGCGACUGAAUUUUCAAUGGUGGGGUUGGAUCGAUGGAAGGGUUGACCCAGUGACCUGGAACCUGGUGCGCCGGUUAGUUUACGAACUGCAACCUCGAUCGAUCUGGAUGCGCUGGAUAUCCAAUCGCAAUUACAUUUCCACCGUUUUCGUCCUACCACCGCUGUAUAACUCGAGUUUGUUCGUUAAUCAUCGCGUUAAUAAGUAACCCGGGGUAUCGUUGUUGCGGAAAUGGAAAUCUUAUCGUCUUUUCCUCGUUUUCAGAAAAUUUCAUUCGACGUUCUCCUCGUUUCCGAUAUUUUCUCAGAGGAGAAAAACUGGAAUUUCGAAUAAAUAAUUUCAAAAUAUUUUAUUUUCAAAGAGACUAAAUCUGUGUCAAUCUCUCGUGAAAAUUGGGGCCCCUAUUUUGAUUAUCCUCUAUGGUUGAAUCUCUUCGUCGAAAAUCAUAAAACUGGCAUCAAAUUAUUGAAAUAUAUUUUUAAAUCCAGAUAAUUUUAAUUGUUACUCAAUGCUAUGUUUAUUAUGGAUUUAUUAUUCUGCAAAUUGAAGAAUUUGAAUAAUCAAAAUAUUUUCGUAUUCAAUUGGAUCCUUUUUAUCUUUGAUAUAUGAGCAGACACUAACGAUUUUUCAACUUAUGCAUAUAUAUAUAUAUAUAUAUACUUUUUCUCAGGGUAUUACGUAUAUACGAGUUGAACAAUCACUAAUUAGUAUGCUUGUGAAUAUGCGUCAUUUCUGUCGCGUGAUUGUUUAAACGAUAUUUUCUAAGCAAUGUUUCGAUCUUGUAAAAAUAUAUACAUAUAUAUAUAUAUAUAUAUUUUUAAAUAAAUUAUGAAUGUAUAAAUAAAAUUAAUAUGUACAUAUUAUAAUAGUUUUUUUUCAAUAAAUAAAUAAUUCAUUCUUAUAAUUCAUUAUAUAAUAAUUAAAGACACGGAAGAGAAAAAUAAGGUUCGGAAGAUUUUGAUUCGAGAUAUAUUUUACGAGAUACUUUGUUUUUUAUCAUUUUUGAUCGUGUAUAAAAAUGUACACCUAAAAUUAAAAAAGAAUAUUCAUUGUCUUUUAUAAUUUUGUUGUUAGAGAAUUAUAGAAAAUUAUUCAAAUUAAAAUUCGAAUGAUAUAAAAAUAUUUUCAAAUUCAACUGGAUUAUUAUCUGGGAUGUGAGUUUAUUCUUUAUACUUAUAUAAAAUGGAUAUUAUUAAAAUUGUAAUAUUUUUGAAUGGUAUCGAAAUUUUUAUUAUCAAACGUGAAUUAAAUUGUUGUUAUUUAAUAUAUUUGUUAUAUAUAUUUAUAUAACUCCAAACUUAUAAUUUUGUUAUCAGAAAACAAUACUGAAAAUCUAGAUAUAAAAAUGUAGCUCUAGCUCUUAAUUGAAUUAUUGAUACAAAACCUAACAAUAUUUUAACAAUAUGAAAUGUUGCAGAUAGAAUAUCACACAGCUUUGCAUAGUGAAAAUUAUUUUACAGUUGUACAUAUUGAAUUUAUUACGAUAUUUAUGUAGUAAUUCUUAAUAUUUUAACUAAUGUUAAUUAUCUAUUUUCAAUUUACAAUUAAAAAAAAUUUAACGUUAUGAGAAUGAGAUGCAGAAUUUAAAAAAACGUUUUUUUUUAUUAAUUUAGAUACACACUAUUUGUUAAGAAAACAGAAUCCACGUAAAAAUUCAUGAAGUAAACGGAAUUAAUCUUUUCUAAAUCUCUAUAUAAUUAUUUUUCGAACAAGUACGUAUUAUACGUGAAUAAAAUUAUGAUUCUUCAAACUAUCACAAAAUUAUACAUCCACUAUCUAAAUCUAUAUCUACAUCCCUUAUAUUGUAUAUUAAAUUCAUAAAAAAGUUAAUAAUAUCAUAGCUAAUCAUCA